ACUGCUGCAGCCAAGCUGACAUACUGACACAUCCCUGUUAUCAGUGGUAUAAGGUGACCAUUCAGAUGGUUUGACAAACACACGAGGUGACUGAAAUACAGCAUGCAGCACACAAGCAAAAUGUCCAUCCAAGCAAAACAAAAAUCAAGAAUGACA